AUGUUACAAGUUUGUCUUUUUAUUCUCCACUUCAAGUAUGGUCGUGGUACACCAUUGAUUCCUUCAAGUCUUCCUCAUUCAUGUCUCAUUACCAUUGUUACAACAGAUGAAAUAGAAAGAAGAAGAUGGUUAGCAAAUAAUCAACACUUGAACAUAAGCAUGAAUUUUCAAAUAAGUUUCUUUUCAAGUUCAUCAUUAGGGUUGUGA